GACUGCGUGUCCUAAUGGAUAAGGCGUCUGACUUUGAAUCACAAGAUUGAGGGUUUAUGUCUCUUCAUAGUUG
rnacentral:tRNA from 1 species